CUACGGGGCGCAGCAGCAGGGAAUAUUGCACAAUGGACGGAAGUCUGAUGCAGCGACGCCGCGUGGAUGAUGAAGGCUCUCGGGUUGUAAAAUCCUUUUCAGGGGGACGAGGAAGGACGGUACCCUUGGAAUAAGCGUCGGCUAACUACGUGCCAGCAGCCGCGGUAAGACGUAGGACGCAAGCGUUAUCCGGAGUUACUGGGCGUAAAGCGUCUGUAGGCGGAAUGGUAAGUUGGACGUGAAAGCUCCGGGCUCAACUCGGAGAGGUCAUUCAAUACUGCCAAAUUAGAGGGCAUCAGAGGAGCGUGGAAUUUCCGGUGUAGCGGUAAAAUGCGCAGAUAUCGGAAGGAACACCAAUGGCGAAGGCAGCGCUCUGGGAUGAACCUGACGCUAAGAGACGAAAGCUAGGGGAGCGAACAGGAUUAGAUACCCUGGUAGUC
rnacentral:rRNA from 1 species